rnacentral:rRNA from 1 species
UACGUAGGGUGCAAGCGUUAAUCGGAAUUACUGGGCGUAAAGCGUGCGCAGGCGGUGAUGUAAGACAGUUGUGAAAUCCCCGGGCUCAACCUGGGAACUGCAUCUGUGACUGCAUUGCUGGAGUGCGGCAGAGGGGGAUGGAAUUCCGCGUGUAGCAGUGAAAUACGUAGAUAUGUGGAGGAACACCGAUGGCGAAGGCAGCCCCCUGGGUCAAGAUGAUGCGCUCAUGCACGAAAGCGUGGGGGAGCAAACAGG